rnacentral:rRNA from 1 species
GUGAGGAAUUUUCCGCAAUGGGCGAAAGUCUGACGCAGCGACGCCGCGUGAGUGAUGAAGGCCUUAGGGUCGUAAAGCUCUGUUGAAUGGGAAGAAAAAAAUGACGGUACCAUUCGAGGAAGGACUGGCUAACUUCGUGCCAGCAGCCGCGGUAAUACGAGGGGUCCUAGCGUUGUUCGGAAUCAUUGGGCGUAAAGGGUGUGUAGGUGGCCAUGUAAGUCAGGUGUGAAAGCCCCGGGCUCAACCCGGGAAGUGCACUGGAUACUGCGUGGCUUGAGUACCGAAGAGGGUAGUGGAAUUCCAGGUGUAGUGGUGAAAUACGUAGAUAUCUGGAGGAACACCGGUGGCGAAGGCGGCUACCUGGUCGAGUACUGACACUGAGACACGAAAGCAUGGGGAUCAAACAGGAUUAGAAACCCUGGUAGUCC